CGUAACCGAAAAUCACAGCAGGGUUCAAUGUGGGGUUAGUAAUUAUACGUACAUCACCACCACCAGGUGCCCAGGUGUCAUACACGCCACCAAAGAACAUAGCUUUGAGUACCAACAACAAAGCACCACACCCUAAAAUAAUGAGGUGGAAACCGAUGAUGUUGGUCAUCUUGUUCUUAUCUUUCCA
rnacentral:antisense_RNA from 1 species